AAAUGAACAACGCAGGGUCCGUCAUGACCAUAAUCUGAACAAUGUAUUUGUGGUGUUAGAUUACAUUAGGAACUUUAUGUAUAUCCCUAUUUGUAAUUGAGUUAUGUGAUAUUUGUUGAUGUUUUGGUAUUGUCCGAGACGACGUGAAACUAUAUGUUUGGAGUAUUUUGUGAAUGACUGAUUAUGUGAUAAAUGAAGUAUAUGCAUGAUAUAUGAAUAUGCAUGAAUGAUGGUGAUGUAUAUGUAUAAUGUAUGAUUAUGCAUGUUUUUAUGAAGAAGUGUUUAAGUACGAUUUACUUACACUUAUAUUUUGAGUAUGUUAUCUAACUCUCUUUUAUGUGUUAUGUGCUGGACCGUUAGGGGUCCAGAUUUUACAGGAUUUUGUGGUAUUCGAUGUCGAGUCGUCGGUGAAGCUCUGCUCUGAUUGUGACACGGGAAAGGGUUUUAUAUUGUAUAUAAAGUCUAUUGUCUAGGUUGUN
rnacentral:lncRNA from 1 species